rnacentral:rRNA from 1 species
AGUGAACGCUGGCGGUAGGCCUAACACAUGCAAGUCGAACGGCAGCACAGUAAGAGCUUGCUCUUACGGGUGGCGAGUGGCGGACGGGUGAGGAAUACAUCGGAAUCUACUUUUUCGUGGGGGAUAACGUAGGGAAACUUACGCUAAUACCGCAUACGACCUACGGGUGAAAGCAGGGGAUCUUCGGACCUUGCGCGAUUGAAUGAGCCGAUGUCGGAUUAGCUAGUUGGCGGGGUAAAGACCCACCAAGGCGACGAUCCGUAGCUGGUCUGAGAGGAUGAUCAGCCACACUGGAACUGAGACACGGUCCAGACUCCUACGGGAGGCAGCAGUGGGGAAUAUUGGACAAUGGGCGCAAGCCUGAUCCAGCCAUACCGCGUGGGUGAAGAAGGCCUUCGGGUUGUAAAGCCCUUUUGUUGGGAAAGAAAAGCAGCAGGUUAAUACCCCGCUGUUCUGACGGUACCCAAAGAAUAAGCACCGACUAACUUCGUG